AUACGGAGGGUGCGAGCGUUAUCCGGAUUCAUUGGGUUUAAAGGGUGCGCAGGCGGACUUUUAAGUCAGUGGUGAAAUCCCGGGGCUCAACCCCGGAACUGCCAUUGAUACUGGAAGUCUUGAGUUUGGUUGAAGUGGGCGGAACGUGGCAUGUGGCGGUGAAAUGCUUAGAUAUGCCACAGAACACCGAUCGCGAAGGCAGCUCACUAAGCCAACACUGACGCUCAGGCACGAAAGCGUGGGGAGCGAACAGGAUUAGAAACCCCAGUAGUCC
rnacentral:rRNA from 1 species